rnacentral:rRNA from 1 species
AGGAUGAACGCUGGCGGUCUGCUUAACACAUGCAAGUCGAACGGGCGUAGCAAUACGUUAGUGGCGGACGGGUGAGUAACGCGUGAGAAUCUACCUUCAGGACGGAGACAACAGUUGGAAACGACUGCUAACCCCCGAUGUACCGAAAGGGCAAAUAUUUAUAGCCUGAAGAAGAGCUCGCGUCCGAUUAGCUAGUUGGAGAGGUAAAAGCUCACCAAGGCGACGAUCGGUAGCUGGUCUGAGAGGACGAUCAGCCACACUGGGACUGAGACACGGCCCAGACUCCUACGGGAGGCAGCAGUGGGAAUUUCCGCAAUGGGCGAAAGCCUGACGGAGCAAGACCGCGUGGGGGAAGAAGGCUCUUGGGUUGUAAACCCCCUUUUCUCUGGGAAGAACGCAAUGACGGUACCAGAGGAAUCAGCAUCGGCUAACUCCGUGCCAGCAGCCGC